AAGAAAGUGACUGCCGCCCCGCACAGGGGCGUGCUAAUAGAGCAAUAGCAAAGCAAAUUUCACAGAAGCACAAGCGCAUCAAACGGUUCAACAAACACCCACCCCGAGCGCCAGCGACCCCCUC
rfam:Burkholderia glathei strain DSM 50014 contig2, whole genome shotgun sequence.